ACGAUGUUUUUAAUUGUUAAGGUUGGAGUUGAGCUGGUAUUAAUCUAAUUAAUAUGUGCAUUACUCUAAUCGACAACAAGUCCACUCAUUACCUUAACACCUGUGAACUUAUUCAUAUACAAACAUUAUUAUUUGUUAUUGGAACGUUUGAUUAUUAAAAAGUUAAUA
rnacentral:misc_RNA from 1 species